rnacentral:rRNA from 1 species
AUCUACAGCCAUGCCAUCCUGAACGUGCCCGAUUUCAUCUGAUCUCAGAAGCUAAGCAAGGUCGAGCCUGGUUAGUACUUGGAUGAGAGACCACCUAGGAAUACCAGGUGCUGUAGGCA